CCGAAGUGCGCGUGCGCAGCGCAGGUGAAGGGCGCGCCUGGGUCCGGAGGUGUUGGCGCCCUCGCAGGGGGUGAUCGCCGAGAGGAGAGAAAGGAGGGCGUCUGUGCUUUAGAGAGACUAUUCCAGAACGUUGAACAUAGAUACUGAAAACCCAAUGGAACUGGAAAUAUGGUACUUCAGCUGAGUCUCAAUUCUACAGAGAAGCAAGGCGCUAGGUGAUCUCUCCCAAUUCUGGUAUCCGUGGCUUGCCUGGCAGCAUGACCCACACCCUCAUGUGUGGGGUCUGAGUCCCUGGUGUUCACGCCCUUUUCAGACUCGGCUGCAGAACUUGUCCUUAUACCAAGAAUUGGGCAAGAAAGUACCAACAGGCACCUGGACAGACUGUGUGAGAGCCAAAUACCCCUUCCACUGUGCAGGAGCAGCCCGACCUUGUCCUGACAACCAGACCCAGUCAGGCCAAAGUGCCCAGGCAGCAGCUGUAGCCAAUAUUUCAGUGGGACUCCUGCUGUUGCCACUUGUGAAAACAUUCUCCUUUUGGAAAUUGGAUGGAUAAAAUAAACCUGGAGACUACAGAGUGGCAGGGACAAGAACACUUCCCAGGUGAAUACCUAGGAGUGAUGCUAGUCUCCACCCUAUGUCCUCUACCUGUUGGGAAUACAGCACCAGAGAAAAGUCUUGGACUUAAAGUGGGCAGCAUCCUGCGAGAUCACCCCCCACCCUGAGGUCCUGCCUGAGCUGGCACUUUAGCUGUGCCAUGCAAGGCAGUUCGUUCCCUUGCUUUGCCAGGCCUCCAGCUUCCGGGUUGGUGUGCUGCAUGGUCUGACCAGUGAUGUUAUGGCCUUGUGCCCUUCACACCCCUCCUUUGUUAAAAUGGGCCCUUGGUCUGACUCAGCAUGAUAGCAGCCCUAGUGGAUAAACACCAUGAGGAGGGAAGGCAAAGCCACACCAAAAGCAUGCACCUGUUUCUCAUCAAAACAAAUUUUUACGAUCACAUGGGUGACUGGGAGCUCCUGCUCGCCACCACUGCCCCGCCUAAGCAUCACAGGGGAAUACUGUACCACACGUGGCUGGUACAGGAAAGACCAAAUUCAAAGCAUGGUUUCUACUGAAUGCGUAUUGUUUUCACACCAUCGAAAAGUCCUAAGUUGAACCACUGUAAGUUGGCACUGUCUGUAUAUGAUGACAGAGUGGAGGAAUCAAUGUAGCUGUAGAGCAGCGGUUCUUAACCUGUGGGUCGCGACCCACAGGAAUUUGUAUUAAAGGCUCAUGGCGUUAGGAAGGUUGAGAACCACUGCUCUAGAGCAAGACUAAAAUAUAUACUAUUGUCUGUUCCAAGUGAAUAUGAACUAUUUCUGAUCCUUUCUGUUGGAAUGGAAGUCUUUUUUUUUUUUUUUUUUUUUUUGAGACAGCCUGAAGCUGUCGCCCUGGGUAGAGUGCUGUGAGAUCACAGCUCACAGCAACCUUCAACUCCUGGGCUUAAGCGAUUUUCCUGCCUCAGCCUCCCAAGUAGCUGGGACUACAGGCACCCACCACAAUGCCCGGCUAUUUUUUGGUUGUAGUUGUCAUUGUUGUUUGGCGGGCCAGGGCUGGGUUUGGGUCAUAAACCAAGCAGACCAGUGAGUUGUGCCAGGGCCAAGAAUACAGAUAUCACUGGCCUCAGAUGCCCCAACUCUAAUAAGGGACUCAUGAUGACAUAGUUUCCUGGUUUCAUUCUCCACUCAGGCUGUGUUCAGCGAGACAGGUGUGUAACCCCUUUCCCCAGUGGACAGUUACCCGAGUAAAGGGCUGUCAGCUCUUUUGUGGAAGGAGGGGGAUCAUUACCUCAUCCAUUUGGGUUUGGUGUUGCAGCGUUCUUCCUCCUGAAGACUCAGGCGUCCUUCAGUAGAUGGAGUUUCAGUCUGAAAACUGGCUCAGAUUCCCAGACUGAGCAAAGGAUCAUGACGGGUUAUCAGGGCCACCUGAUUUCCCGUUCUUGAAGUACUUUGAUUGUACAGCUUGAGGAGCACACUUGUUGGCUAUUGUUGUCUCAUGCAGGGCACAUUGCUCUGGGAACCAUGCAGGUGAUCCCACACCCUCUGAUUUUCCUAGCCUAACUGCAUUAUUCACUUGGUUUCUGACUGCUGUGCACUUAUGCACUGCCUCCUGGUCUCUUAGGGUCCUAUGAGCUCCAUAGUUUCCGAAUGUGUGAUACAUUGAUACAUCGAACCAGCUGGUCUUCACUCUUAAGACCACCGUGGUUGUCCUCUGGUGGAAGUUUUGCAACUUGUGUUCAGGAACUGCGACCUUGUGAUGGUAGCUCCCUUGUGCUCUAUCCACCACCAGUGCUCAGGUCUUUACUGCCAGCCCAGGGGGUGAUCCAGCUCCAAGAUGCCACCUUUGUCCCUUCUCUCAGGCCCCUCUACUACAGGGACUCCCAGGAGGCAGUCUCUGAGAUGGAGUGCAGCCUACGUGGGGGGUGGGGGAGUGUCGGCUGUUCGGAUCACCACCUGGGGAGGCGGAGAGUUGGGGAGGGCAGAGCAGGCAGCAGGAUCAGAGUAGAGAAGACUUGGAGCUGCAGCUCACACUCAGGGAAGGCCUUGGCUACCUCAGAGCUUUAAAGCUAUAGGUGGGCUGCUUCAGGAGAGGGCCUUGACCUUAGGCAAGGUAAUCUCCAGCUGAGGCAAUUUCAAUAAGAGUGGACUAGGGCGGCGCCUGUGGCUCAGUGAGUAGGGUGCCGGCCCCAUAUGCCGAGGGUGGCGGGUUCAAACCCAGCCCCAGCCAAACUGCAACAAAAAAAUAGCCGGGCAUUGUGGCGGGCGCCUGUAGUCCCAGCUGCUUAGGAGGCUGAGGCAAGAGAAUCGCGUAAGCCCAAGAGUUAGAGAUUGCUGUGAGCUGUGUGACGCCACAGCACUCUACCAAGGGCGGUACAGUGAGACUCUUGUCUCUACAAAAAAAAAAAAAAAUCAAAAAGAGUGGACAGCUGAAGGCUGAAUUGUACUCUUUAAAGGGGUAAAUUCUAUGGCCCAUGAAUGAUUUCAAUUUCAAAGCUAUUUUAAAAGAGAAUGAACAGCUCAGCAUCCAUAGCUCAGUGGUUAGGGCGCCCAUCCUAUACACCAGGGCUGGAGGGUUCAAACCUGGCCCUGGCCAACUAUGACAACUAUAACAAAAAAAAUAGCCAGGUGUUGUGGCAGGUGCCUGUAGUCCCAGCUACUUGGGAGGCUGAGGCAAGAGAAUCACUUAAGCUCAAGAGUUGGAGGUUGCUGGGAGCUGUGACACCACGGCACUCUCCUGAGGGCGAAAUAGUGACUGUCUCAGAAAAACCAGAAUGAACAGAAUUGAGAAUGGGGAGGCCAGGAAGAGGAACCUAUUGUUAAGAUCGACUUCCGGGAAAGGAGAGAGCAGCUGCUUUCUCACUAGUUGAGAACCCACUGUUACUAGGUGGCAUAGUGGGGGGCACAGGAUCUAUGGACGGAACUCUCUUCUUGAGAGAACUCUGAUCUUACCAUUCCGUCUUGGGAGGACAAUGCAAAGUACUGAGAUGAAGACGGGGUGGGGGGGUAGAGAUCAGUGCUCGCAGAGGGGUCGAGGACAAGUGGGCCCCAGCUUCGAGGGCAUCAUCAUGUUGUAUGGGUGAGUGCCAGCUCCUAGGAGGUUAGAGACUGCACAACGUUCAGGCUUAACUUAGUUUCUAAUAAUAAUAAUGUUGAAGUUUCUGAAAGCUACAAAUAUUCCAUAUUAAUCCCGGCAGAAAAUUUAGAAGAAAAAAAGGAACUAGAAGAUAAAAUUGGAAAAAAAUCCCUCACAAGGUAGAAGAUACAAGGAUGAAAAAUAUAAAGAAAAAGCAAAAUUAAAGGACUACCCAGCAGGUUCAACACAUGGAAAUCAGAAAGGGAAAGAUCAUCAGUGAAUGGCAGAAGUGGCCCCAGACUGUUUUUCUGAGUUUACAGAGUAAAAGGCCCACAACACGUAAAAAUGGUUCCAGGCUGGGCACAGUGGCUUAUGCCAGGAAGCCCAGUGUUUGGGGAGGCCAAGGCAGGAGGAAAGCAUGAGUCAGGAGUUGAAGACCAGCCUGGGCAACAUGGCAAGACCUUGUCUCUACCUAAAUAAAAUAAACAAAAGAAUGGAUUCACACCAAGAUAAUCAUCAGGAAAUUCAGGCAGAAACAGUCAACAAUGGGUCAGAAAUCAAAGACAAUGAAGCAAAUGCCUUCAAAACUCUGAAGAAAACCAAUAUUCAACCUAGAAUUAAUAGGCAAAUAAACUCUUAAAUGAAGAUGGAACAGACAUUUUAAGACGCAUAGGUCUUACAAGGUUUACCCCCCUAACAGAGGAUAUGUUAUCACUAAAACAACAGAGGGGAAGCUGGGAUAGGAAAUGAGCCCCCACACCGGGGCAGUGAGGACUCGGUGCAGGGCUCCACAGAGGAACAUGGAUGCCCACAACUGCAGGGCUUACUGUGAGCCCCGAUCCCAGUCCUCGUCACGAACGGAGAGGCGGGGGGCAGCAUGCCAUGGUCCUUCUUACUCGUGCUGUAUGGUCCUGCUGCUUCCGUAUUGUCCAGGGUGCUGAAUUCACCCCCACAGGUGUUCUGCUGCCCUGGAAACUGGAGGUGGGCCAAGUGUAGAAGCAAGACACAGAACAAAUGGACAAAAGCCCACACGUUAUCCAGUCCCUUCUCCACAUUCCUACAAGGUGUCCUGUGUGGAACUUGGUUCACAGCUGUUUCUCAGAAGUGGCUCCUGUAAUAUUCAGGGAGUUGGCAAAAGCCUCUGAGGCUCUGGUCAGUUUUUCUUCUCUUGCAUGGUGCUGGCCCCUUCACAGGUUUGCACUUGCUUGAGUUUCUACACAAAUCAGUGUUCAGUUCAUUGUUAUGAAUAAAGUUGUUGGUAAAAUAUUUAAGAAUCAUUAAUACAUUUAUUUAGUGGUUUCUAAAAGUCAAGAGUAACAUAUCAGACUAAAAGUGAGAAAUGCUUUAUAUAUAUAUUUUUUGUAACUUGUAUUACUUUUGUAACAUGAAUAACCAAAUUUCCCUAUUUUAACUAAAUAGGAAAAAAGUAACAUUUGGUGUGGUCGACUUGAUGGAAUCAGGUAUACUGUAUCUUUACAGUUUAUCUAAAUAUUAAUAUAUUUUUCUCAGUGCUUGGAAACAUUUUAAAAAGUUAUAAAUAUAUGCUUGGAAUUCUGUACCCCAUGUAUAAGAAAUAGCAAAUUAAAAAAAGAAAAAAACAAAUGCCUCUAGUAGCACUUAUAUUCGUUUUGCUGACUGUUCUUUAUGGUUGUAGA